GAGAUAUCUGUAUCCACCUGAAGACUUGGAACAGAAAGCCAGACUUGAAAGUUUGAGAGUCAAUCUUAGAAAGAAAGCAGAGGAGAGAGAAACAGUUGGGGAGAGUGAUGCCUGAGCCUUGUAUGCACAUUUCUUAGACAUUUUCAACAGCAGAAUUUUCUGGACAAAUGCUUAUCAUGAAUACAGUUAAACAAAAGUACUACUGGUAGUAUUCAUGGUUGUUUCAUUUAUGAAUCCAUUUUAGAUCAUUACCACAUCAAUGGUCAUUGUGUUAAGAUCCUAUAUGUUGGAUUGUUAGGCAUAUAUUCCAUGCACUGACAGAUCACGUUUCAUGUUGGAUUGUUAGGCAUAUAUUCCAUGCACUGACAGAUCACGUUUCAUGUCUAUAGAAGACUUCAUAUUAUGCUGUUUGAAUAAUAAUUGGAAUUAAGUUUAAGACAUUAAAGAAUGACCAUGAUUGAUAUGUUUUAUUUUAUUAUAUUAUAACAAUUAUAUGAUUUUCAGAGGUUGGAUAACAUUUUGCAUUCAGUGAUUGUACGUGUUACAUGGGUUCAAAUUAGAAACUUGUGUUGUGUUCCAAAUUACAUGUACUUGAACUUGUACAUGUGAAUAUUUGGUUGUGAGUUGUCUUUUUUGUCGUGCUGUACAAUAUUUUGAAUGUUGUGGUUGUAUUUCAUUUUUUAAUAAUACUGAUUACAAAGACUGAAAAGCGUAUUAAAUAAUGUUAUUGAUUUA